GUAAUGUUACGUGCCUGCCAUCCUUAUCCUAUGCCAGAAGUACAACACCAGUCUCACCCCCAUUCCGGCGUGGAGUUCUCUGAGUUCGGUGGCACUUGGGAUAUUCCACUUCAGUGCCAUGAGAAGAAAAUGGUAAGCAAAAAGCAAAAGGAAUAAUGCAAAAAAAAAAAAAAAUUAUAAUGUUCUGGUAUCCAAUUGCUCCUGCUUCAGCCUUUUAUCCAAAGCCUUGAGAUGGAUCUGCCUCAUCCAGGAAGUUUUCCUGCUUCGUUAGAGUAUCUUCAUUUUCUUUAUCAGAUGCUGGCUGGCACUCCACGCCAGUGCACGGCUCCAUGGAAUGCCUGCUGUUGGACACUUGCAGAGCUCUGCCACCAAGCAACCUCCUGCAUUGGAAAUCGGGGGACUACUCCAGGAUCUUAUGCGUGCUUGCUGUUUGAAGCUGCAGAAAAGUGAAUAAUCAAUUAAGUAUUGAUUUCUUGUAAGAUUUGGUAAAUUUCAAAGGCAAGACAAAGAGGAUGGCUUAAGGAAACACCGCAGGGACUUGGCGUAAAUUAGACAACUAACGGAAGCGCAGAAUAAAAUAACACCUCAACUGAAGAUUUCCUUGGAAGAAUUAGCACUAGCUAUUGGAAGACAAUGGUGGAUUUAAUCAAAACAGCAGGCACGCAAGAAUUUUACCCGUGAACCAGAAAAAAGAGCUAAUUAUAACCACCUUUUCAAUGGAGCUAAUUUGACUGAAUGGAUGCAAAUGUGCUUUAUUUAUGGAUGAAGAAGCAAGCCUUACUGCAUGAUCUUGGGAUCAUCGGAUCUGCUAAGCUUUGCAGCUCCUGUUACCUUCAGUACAUUUUUUAUUUCCGGAGAAGGUAUUUAUAUGUAAACAACAGCUAACCAUGCAAAAGAUUCAUCGGAACAAUAUACUGUGGUAUAUGAGAUAUAAUCAUAAUUUUGCAGCCUCUCAGGAUUUCCUCUAACUUGGAGGUUUUGCAACCUUUGUGUGCAAUGGGUUAUGGUAAACAAUAAAUGAAUGAUGCUAAAGUGUUGUGAUUUUUCAAUGUGUAGUUUGUUAAUUUUAGCUUUCUUAACAUAUUGAUUCUGAAUUAUUUGCAAUAAAUCCAUACGAAAGAAAGGGAAUUGUUGGGUGGGGUUUUUUUUAAUGCACUUGCAGUCUUCUUAGAGAUCGGAAUGUGUAGGUCCCACCAGCCCAUGAGCUCUAUAAUUAUAAAAGAAUGGUAAAAAAUUUGACAAUUUGAAGUAUUGGUUUUAUAAUGGGAACAAUGUGUUACAAUCAGUAAAAGGAGACUUGUUAUGUUUUCUCUCUGUGUAGAAUGUUCUUGAGUGGUUAACUCCUCUGUUGCUGAUGAGAAGUAAAUACCAGAACUGGCAAUAAGCAGAGAUUGUAAUGACAAUGCUUUGUUCCUAUGCAUCCUCCUAUUUCAAGCUAAAGUGCAUUUUUAGCAUUUCCUUCUAUUUCUAUUAUUUUCCUUUCUAUUUUUGUUCUUUUCAUCAUUUUUUCUGUCUUGCAAUCUACGUUCCCUGAGCAACCAUAGGAACCAAGUUACAUUAAGCUUAAACACAAAGACCUUGUAAGAAUAAUGAGUCCUCAUUUGCAUCGACAUUUGUAUUCAGAUUUGCCAGGCUAUAAACUUGGCAGAUCAAGCGGAAUAUUAAGUAGAGGCUUCCAUGGUAAAUUGUGGCUCUUGAAAUUGCUAACUACCCCCUCCCCUUUUUUUUCUCUCUAUCUGUGGUGGCAGGUGAAGUCUCAUGACUACUUGCUUCUUAAGAAGCGUAUUGGCUCCUUCAUCUUUCAUUAUAUGAUGCCAGUUUCAAGCAGAAGAGGGGCAAAGCCAGUACUAGGUGUUCUAGUUGAAGGCACAAAAUGACAUGUAACUGUAGCAUUAAUUCUAGAGUCCAUAUAUCACAAGAGGUGUCUUUAAGUAGUUGAAGCUGUAAGAAAAUUAAUUCUCAUGUAUGGGCUAAGGUUUGAUCUUUCUGGUAUGUUCAAAAUGCAUUAACCUCAUGAAACUUCACACUCAUUUUUUAAAGCUUCUAAAGGUUGGAGGAGGACCAAGGUAGCUCUUUACUCACAAAAUAAUUCAGUUACACCAUUCUGAGUCAUCGUCACUGACCUACUCAUGCCCAUUCUUGAAAUAUUUUAAAUGCCUCAUUCUAUUAAGCCUCCAUGGAUUGACUGACUUAAUCUUUAGUUUUGCUUGAUUCUGAAAUGGUAAAAUAGGAAUAGUUAUACUUACUGCUAGCAAACUUAUAAAUUCAGCAAUAUGACCCAUAAGGUCAUUUCUACAACACAGCCAACAAUGGGGUGAAAAAUGUAGACUUUAAUUUCCAUGCUUGGUCCACCCUAUGCGAUGCCAAACAAGUGAGUAAUUGGAAACAUUUGUGCAUAACUUAAUUUUUCACGCAUUACCCCAGUGUUUCAGAUUUCUGUAAACAGAGCCUAAAUCUAUGACCUAUUAACAAACUCUCACUUCUUGCCAUCCCUUUUUCUCUCUAGAACCUUUCACUAGUGGGGAGCAAUAAAACAUAUUAGAACUAACAAACUUACAAUGGACAUUUAAUAGUGAUUUUCCUUUCUAUUCUAUUUUUUAAAAUAGAAAUGGAGUAAAUGAUAAAAUGUAGACUGAAUUUAUCAUAAAGACAUUCCCUUUUGGUAUAUUGCAAGGAACUAUGAACUUUUAGUAACUACUAUAAGCAACUGACAGGUAAGUCUUACUCUAGAUUGAGGUAAAGUUUAAUUGUAUAUGGAAAAAAAUGGGAGAAUGCUUCAUGAAAGAUGCUAUACCUUUUUUUGAAAAACAUACCAGCAAGUAUGUAGAAUAAGGACUCAUAUUUUAUAAGCUUCCAUAAACUUGUAAAAAUAUGUAUAAUAAUCUUUCCAUAGUGUAUACUGGUAUGAUAUUAGUAAAUCACAAUGUAGCACAUUUUAAAGUAGGGUUUUAGCUAUUUUUCUUAGUAACUGAGUUUUAAAUCUGAGAAGAAAAAUGUAAAUUAUAACCUUUUUGGGAAACUAUAUGCUUGUAUUCCACAAUCUAACUUUUAAGGAAAAUAAACUAUUUGAUAGUUUGGU
rnacentral:lncRNA from 1 species